rnacentral:rRNA from 1 species
GAUGAACGCUGGCGGCGUGCUUAAUACAUGCAAGUCGAGCGAACAGACGAGGCGCUUGCUCCUUUGACGUUAGCGGCGGACGGGUGAGUAACACGUGGAUAACCUCCCUAUAAUACGGGGAUAACCUCGGGACACCGGAUCUAACACCGGAUAAUAUCCUGCACCGCGUUGGGGAAUAGAAAAAGACGGCUUUUCGGGCACGUAUCGCGGCUUCCCCGCCGCAUUAGCUAGUUGUUGAGGUAACGGGUUACCAAGGCAACGAGGCGUAGCCGACCUAAGAGGCUGAUCGGCGACACUAGAACGGAGACACGGUCCAGACGCCUACGGGAGGGCGCAGUAGGGAAUCUUACGCAAUGGUCGAAAGCUUGACGGAGCAGCGCCGCGUGAGUGAUGAAGGCCUUCGGAUCGUGAAGCUCGGUUAUUGGGUGUGAACAACUGUGGAAGUAACUAUGGACGGAUUGACGGUACCGGAUCAGAAAGCCACGGCUAACUACGUG